UCGGGGCCUGUUAGAUCAGACUCUAUCAGAACAUGGCAGCAUCCGCUUUGUUUUCCCUCGUUUCUGCCCUCUACCCACAUGUACACAAAGAUUCUCGGAUGGGCAGGAGGCACGUAUUUCUUAAUGACGUUGUGCCCCCAUCACAUCAACUAUACAUUUUUGUCGUGAGAAAAAGUGGCAAAAUCAUUUCCCCAACAUUUAGGUGUCUCAAAUAUGUCAAUAUUUUUACAGCCUAGAUUCACAGAAUAUUUUUUAUUUAGAAUCAGACUGAUCUUGCCUCAUUUAGGUAGAGAAUUACACUGUCAUUCUUCAAUUCUAGGCAACUAAAUAAUUAAUCGCACUGAAACUGCACUGCCAGGGAAGGAAUUUCUGAAGGCCACACACAGUGCUGAGGUACUCACUCCGUGCCCAAGGCGGAAGUUCCACGUCAUCCACCAUCUGGCCUCCUUGUCUCUUCCCCAAAUCCAACUUCAGACUAUUGACUAAGAAGCUGACAUCAUCGCCAUAGAAUUCUGGAAUCAACUGAAGGUUCCAGGUGGAAAAAGAAAAAAGAAAAAAAAAAAUAGCAACAAACAUUUUUUAAAGCAGUUAGAAAACACCAGCCCCAUGAAUCAUUAACUCUUUAAACUGCUUACCUCUUUAAAAUCUGUGGCACCAUCCAAGCAAUUUUUCCAAGUUUCUGCAAUACUAAAUA